rnacentral:rRNA from 1 species
CCCUUAGAUGUCCUGGGCUGCACGCGCGCUACACUGAUGCAUUCAACGAGUUUUUCCUGGUCCGAGAGGAAUGGGUAACCUUUUGAAAGUGCAUCGUGCUAGGGAUAGACUAUUGCAAUUAUUGGUCUUCAACGAGGAAUUCCUAGUAGACGUAGUUCAUCAGACUGCAUCGAUUACGUCCCUGCCCUUUGUACACACCGCCCGUCGCUCCUACCGAUUGGAUGAUCCGGUGAGCUAUUCGGACCUUCGCUUCGUCGAUUUUCGGCUUUGUGAGGGAAAGUCUCGCGAACCUUAUCAUCUAGAGGAAGGAGAAGUCGUAACA